AUGCCUAUGACAAGUUCUGGUGACCGGAAAUCAGUGCUGUGGACUAAAAUCAAGCUGUUGGCAAGGCUGUGCUCCCUUCAGGGGCUCCAGGGUGGAAUCCAUGUCUUGCCUUUUCCUGCAUGGAGAGCUACAUUUCUUGGCUCAUGGUGCCCAUCUGUCUUCAAAGUCAAAGUAGGACAUUUCCGACACCCACCAAAAAAGAGUGGGAAUCCACAAACCACUAGAGAAAAAUAGAGAUUUUACUGAAGAUUUUGAACAGAAGAUUAAAGAGGUAAUGUCUAUAGCUUGGCUCUCAGUAUUUCACUCCAAUAUUUUUAAGUAACUUUCUCUCAAGCUUGACUUUUGGGCCAUAGGCCACAGACCUUCUCUUUCUUUUUGAAACUUUCUCUAUUUGGUUGCACAUUAAAUUUUGUUCUGUGAAUUAUAGCAGCUACUAUGGUAACAAAAGAAGCAUACUGAAAUUCAUUCUUCUUCUUAUAAGACAAUAUAUGUUAAAACAAAUUUAAAAAAAAUUAAUGAUGACCCUCCUCCCUUUUUUGAUAGAUUCAAAUAAAAUAUCCAGAACAAUGAUAGGGAUAUAAUCCGUAUUCACUUUGCCAUUUAGUCUUUAAUGCAGUAUCUCAGGAAGUAGUUUUCCAAAGUGCUUUAUGAGCCUCACAUAAUGUAAAUAAAACAAAGUGAACUUCAUAUUUUAAGAAGGAAUCUAUAGUUAAAUAAUAAGAUGAUUUAUAUAGUUUAAUUACAAAAAUAUGCAAAAUCAGCAUCCUCAUUACAAUAAGUAAGUAGUUCAUAUCUUGAGCAUCUUUCACUUUCUGUUUCACUUUACCUGAAUGUUGAAAUCAGUAUGCAUUUUCCAAAAAUCCAAUAUGAAUGAUUUUCAUGAAUAAUUAUAGGUUAAUAUUAUUUUCUUUUCUUUUUUGCAGAGAGUUUAUUUACCUGAGCAUCAUUGCAUAAUAUCACAUUAUGGCAAUAUUGGCUCCAGCCUCUUAAGUAGUGGGACAUCAACUUGCUGUAAAAAUUAUGGUUACUACUGCAUUUAAAUUUUAUGUGGAAAAUCUGACAAAGUUGUAAUUAAUAAGUGCAAUGAUUCGUGCAUGAGGAUUUCUAUUUCCAGCCUGGACUGUAUCCAUGAAACCCAGACUGGCAUAUGCAAAUGCCAUCAAAACAUCCACACCUGGAUAGCUGACAGGCAUUUCAUGCUUAUCCAAAACUAACACUAACUCUUUCCCAACUAUCCUUCCUUCAGUCUUGCCCUCUGAGCUGGGGAGAACACCAUCAAUUCAGCUGUGCAGUCUGGAAGCUUUGAUAACAUCCUUGACUCCUUUCUUCUUUGAUAUAUUACAUCCAGUGCAUCAGCAAAUUGCAUAAUCUCUACCUCCAAAUAUAUAUUUAGAAUCGAACUACAUCUCACUACCUCUACUAAUAUCACCUUGGUCCUAGCCAUCAAGAUCAAUGACCUGCAUUUUUGCAAUCUUCUUUUACCUCAUCUCGUCCCCACCUCAGGUAUUUCUUACCAUACCAGCCAGAAAGAAUCUUUUAAAAACUUAUUUCCAAUCAUGAUAGUCUUCUGCUCAAUACCCCAAGGACAUCCAUUCUCUCACAGAGUAAAAACCAAAGUCCUAACAAAGACAAAGGAAGCCCAUAAUUAUCUGCUGUGACUCCAUUCCUCUCCUGCUUGUCUUCUGCACUCAUCUCCUGCCAGGGGAGGUUCCCACUGUAACUUCCUUUCACACACAUUAGCCUCCCCAUAGUUCAGGCACAUGUCAGUCAGAAGGUCUUUAAGGAGACUGGAACACCUUCCUCUAAAUAUACAUGAGAUUCACCCUCUCUUAUUUCACUGAAGUCUUUACACAAAUUCCCCAUCACUGAGACUUUUCAGAAUGACUCUAGUUUAAAUUAAAACUUCCCAAAUUCUACGUCUUUUUUAUCUUUUCUUUUUCUCCAGUGCACUAAUCAUCUAUUUGAUGCACUACAUAUUUAUUGUUGAUGCACUUCCCUACCACUAGAAUAUAUAUUUCAUAGUCACAGGAAAUUGUGGAUGUUUGCUCAAUGCUUUAUCCCCAGGGCUGAGAGAAUCUAGAUGGAACUCCAUUCAUACUUGUUGAGUGAAUGCAUCAUGGGAGCAAGCUAUUUAAACCAUAGAAAAAGUAACGCAUUAUUUUAAACAUUAAUGUUAUCUUUACAUAAUGACGUGAGGUAUGUAAGAUUGGCACUAUAAUAUUCACUUGGCAGUUGAAGAAAAUGAGUAGAGAAAAGAUUAAUAGUAUUUCUUAAAUUAGACCUCAGGCUUCUUGAAUUCUUUAAUGUGUCAGAGACAGUAGAUUCCUAAUGCUUCUGUAACAAAUUACCAUAUACUCCCUGGCUUAAAACAAUACAGGUUUAUUAUCUUACACUUCUGGAGGUUAAAAAUCCAAAAUGGGUCUCACUAGGCUUGAGUGGGUGUCCGCAGGGCUGCAUUCCUUCUGGGGGCUCUAGGAGAGAAGCGGUGUCAUUGCCUUUCCAGGUUCUAGAGGCAUGGCACUCCUUGGCUCAUGGCUCCCAGGUCACAGCCACAUCUCUGCAAUCUGUUCCAGUGGUCACAUCUCUUCCUCUGACUCUCCUGUCUCUCAUUUACAUGUGUAAAGACACUUGUGAUUAUACCGAACCUACCGGAAUAAUCCAGGACAAUCUCACCAAUUCAAGAACCUUAAUUUAAUCACAUCUACAAAGUCCUUCAUUGCAGGUAAGGUAACAUAUUUACACUUUGGGGGAUUAGGAAGUGAGUAUUUUUUAGGACUGUUAUUCUGCCUACUACACAAGAAUAGCAUAAAAUAUUCUUAAUUUUUUUAUUUUUUAUUUUCAUAGAUUCAGGGGCUACAUGUGCAGGUUUGUUACAUGGAAAUAUUGGAUAGUAUCGGGGUUUGGACUUCUAGUGUACCCAUCACCUGAAUAGUGAACAUUGUACCCAAAGGGUAAUUUUUCCACCUUCAGGCCAAGCAUGGUAGCUCAUGACUGUAAUCCCAGUGUUUUGGGAGGCCGAGGUGGGUGGAUCACUUGAGGUAAGGAGUUCGAGACCAGCCUGACCAACAUGGUGAAACCCUGUCUCUACUAAAAAUACAAAAAUUAGCCGGGCGUGGUGGCACAGGCCUGUAAUCCCAGCUACUCGGGAGGCUGAGGCAGGAGAAUUGCUUCAACUUGUGAGGCAGAGGUUGCAGUGAGCCGAGACUGUGCCACCGCACUCCAGCCUGGGAGACAGAGCGAGACUCCGUCUCAAACAAAACAAAACAAAUUUCCACCUUCAGCAUGAACUAUUCUAUCUUAUAUCAUGACUAUAAUUGUAAUGCUCAUUACAUUGUUAUUUUUCUUAC
rnacentral:lncRNA from 1 species